rnacentral:rRNA from 1 species
CAAUAAGCGGAGGAAAAGAAACCAACAGGGAUUACCUUAGUAACGGCGAGUGAAGCGGUAAGAGCUCAAAUUUGGAAUCUGGCACCUUUGGUGUCCGAGUUGUAAUUUGAAGAUGGUAACUUUGGCUUUGGCCCUUGCCUAUGUUCCUUGGAACAGGACGUCACAGAGGGUGAGAAUCCCGUGCGGUGAGGUGACCCAUUGCUUUGUAAAGUACUGUCAACGAGUCGAGUUGUUUGGGAAUGCAGCUCUAAGUGGGUGGUAAAUUCCAUCUAAAGCUAAAUAUUUACGAGAGACCGAUAGCGAACAAGUACAGUGAUGGAAAGAUGAAAAGAACUUUGAAAAGAGAGUGAAAUAGUACGUGAAAUUGUUGAAAGGGAAGGGCAUUAGAUCAGACUUUGUUUUUAGUGAUCAACUAGCCUUUUUGGCUGGUGCACUCGCUAACUACUAGGUCAACAUCAGUUUGAACGGCAGGAUAAUAGUGAAGGAAUGUGGCUCUCCUCUUUGAGGCGAGUGUUAUAGCCUUUAUUGAUACUGCCUGUUYGGACUGAGGAACGCGGUUUAYACCAAGGAUGUUGACAUAAUGAUCUUAUGCCGCCCGUCUUGA